GAUGAACGCUAGCUACAGGCUUAACACAUGCAAGUCGAGGGGCAUCAGGAAGAAAGCUUGCUUUCUUUGCUGGCGACCGGCGCACGGGUGAGUAACACAUAUCCAACCUGCCCUUUACUCGGGGAUAGCCUUUCGAAAGAAAGAUUAAUACCCGAUGGCAUAAUGAUUCCGCAUGGUUUCAUUAUUAAAGGAUUCCGGUAAAGGAUGGGGAUGCGUUCCAUUAGGUUGUUGGUGAGGUAACGGCUCACCAAGCCUUCGAUGGAUAGGGGUUCUGAGAGGAAGGUCCCCCACAUUGGAACUGAGACACGGUCCAAACUCCUACGGGAGGCAGCAGUGAGGAAUAUUGGUCAAUGGGCGCUAGCCUGAACCAGCCAAGUAGCGUGAAGGAUGAAGGCUCUAUGGGUCGUAAACUUCUUUUAUAUAAGAAUAAAGUGCAGUAUGUAUACUGUUUUGUAUGUAUUAUAUGAAUAAGGAUCGGCUAACUCCGUGCCAGCAGCCGCGGUAAUACGGAGGAUCCGAGCGUUAUCCGGAUUUAUUGGGUUUAAAGGGAGCGUAGGUGGACUGGUAAGUCAGUUGUGAAAGUUUGCGGCUCAACCGUAAAAUUGCAGUUGAUACUGUCAGUCUUGAGUACAGUAGAGGUGGGCGGAAUUCGUGGUGUAGCGGUGAAAUGCUUAGAUAUCACGAAGAACUCCGAUUGCGAAGGCAGCUCACUGGACUGCAACUGACACUGAUGCUCGAAAGUGUGGGUAUCAAACAGGAUUAGAUACCCUGGUAGUCCACACAGUAAACGAUGAAUACUCGCUGUUUGCGAUAUACAGUAAGCGGCCAAGCGAAAGCAUUAAGUAUUCCACCUGGGGAGUACGCCGGCAACGGUGAAACUCAAAGGAAUUGACGGGGGCCCGCACGAGCGGAGGAACAUGUGGUUUAAUUCGAUGAUACGCGAGGAACCUUACCCGGGCUUAAAUUGCAGUGGAAUGAUGUGGAAACAUGUCAGUGAGCAAUCACCGCUGUGAAGGUGCUGCAUGGUUGUCGUCAGCUCGUGCCGUGAGGUGUCGGCUUAAGUGCCAUAACGAGCGCAACCCUUAUCUUUAGUUACUAACAGGUCAUGCUGAGGACUCUAGAGAGACUGCCGUCGUAAGAUGUGAGGAAGGUGGGGAUGACGUCAAAUCAGCACGGCCCUUACGUCCGGGGCUACACACGUGUUACAAUGGGGGGUACAGAAGGCAGCUAGCGGGUGACCGUAUGCUAAUCCCAAAAUCCUCUCUCAGUUCGGAUCGAAGUCUGCAACCCGACUUCGUGAAGCUGGAUUCGCUAGUAAUCGCGCAUCAGCCACGGCGCGGUGAAUACGUUCCCGGGCCU
rnacentral:rRNA from 1 species